UCCCUGGUGGCUCAGAGGUUAAAGCGUCUGCCUGCAAGGCGGGAGACCCGAGUUCAAUCCCUGGGCUGGGAA
rnacentral:tRNA from 1 species